AGGUUCCCUAAGAAUGAAAACCGAAGGCAGCUUUGGAUACAGGCUCUGAAGCGGAAAAACUUUAAGCCGUCUGCACAUACGCGCCUUUGCUCGAAACACUUCGAGGAGAAAUGUUUUGAUAGGGCUAAAACUGGAGGGAAUUGGCUAAGUAGUGAUGCUAUCCCGACACUUUUCGAUUUUCCGGAGCAUAUGAAAUCGAAGAAGCCUAAGCUCCGUAAAUCACACUCUAGAAGGCGUUCGUUAGAUGAUGCCUCGUCUUCUGAAAUCUGUGCUUCCAAUGCCUUGACAUGCGAUAUGGAAACGAACACCCCGAAAAACAAAAGUUUCAGGUAUAUUGGGGACUUUUCGAAUAGCGAUUUGUGUACUCCUGGCAUAGCAGAAAAAGUGAUAGAUGUGGCAAGACGGCAGAUUAGCAUCAAAGCCAGAAAGUUAAAGAAUUUGCAGCGGUCAUCUCGUGAGAUGAAGAAGAAAGUCUUGUCUUUGGAAUCUUUGAUAAAUAAUCUUGAAAAUAAUCGUGUUAUAAAUGAACCCCUGGAUAAUUUA